rnacentral:rRNA from 1 species
UGCAAGUCGAGCGGAAACGAUCCUAGCUUGCUAGGAGGCGUCGAGCGGCGGACGGGUGAGUAAUGCAUAGGAAUCUGCCCGGUAGUGGGGGAUAACUUGAGGAAACUCAAGCUAAUACCGCAUACGCCCUACGGGGGAAAGCAGGGGCUCUUCGGACCUUGCGCUAUCGGAUGAGCUUAUGUCGGAUUAGCUGGUUGGUGAGGUAACGGCUCACCAAGGCGACGAUCCGUAGCUGGUCUGAGAGGAUGAUCAGCCACAUCGGGACUGAGACACGGCCCGAACUCCUACGGGAGGCAGCAGUGGGGAAUAUUGGACAAUGGGGGCAACCCUGAUCCAGCCAUGCCGCGUGUGUGAAGAAGGCCCUCGGGUUGUAAAGCACUUUCAGCGAGGAAGAAUGCUUGUCGGUUAAUACCCGGCAAGGGAGACAUCACUCGCAGAAGAAGCACCGGCUAACUCCGUGCCAGCAGCCGCGGUAAUACGGAGGGUGCGAGCGUUAAUCGGAAUUACUGGGCGUAAAGCGUGCGUAGGCGGCUUGAUAAGCCGGUUGUGAAAGCCCCGGGCUCAACCUGGGAACGGCAUCCGGAACUGUUAGGCUAGAGUGCAGGAGAGGAAGGUAGAAUUCCCGGUGUAGCGGUGAAAUGCGUAGAGAUCGGGAGGAAUACCAGUGGCGAAGGCGGCCUUCUGGACUGACACUGACGCUGAGGUACGAAAGCGUGGGUAGCAAACAGGAUUAGAUACCCUGGUAGUCCACGCCGUAAACGAUGUCGACUAGCCGUUGGGGUCCUCGAGACCUUUGUGGCGCAGUUAACGCACUAAGUCGACCGCCUGGGGAGUACGGCCGCAAGGUUAAAACUCAAAUGAAUUGACGGGGGCCCGCACAAGCGGUGGAGCAUGUGGUUUAAUUCGAUGCAACGCGAGAACCU